GACAGAGGGUGCAAACGUUGUUCGGAAUUACUGGGCGUAAAGCGUGUGUAGGCGGUCUCAUAAGUCGGAUGUGAAAGCCCCGGGCUCAACCCGGGAAGUGCAUUCGAAACUGCGAGGCUAGAGUAUCGGAGAGGUUGGUGGAAUUCUCGGUGUAGAGGUGAAAUUCGUAGAUAUCGAGAGGAACACCGGUGGCGAAGGCGGCCAGCUGGACGAAUACUGACGCUGAGACACGAAAGCGUGGGGAGCAAACAGG
rnacentral:rRNA from 1 species